rnacentral:rRNA from 1 species
UACGAAGGGGGCUAGCGUUGCUCGGAAUUACUGGGCGUAAAGGGCGCGUAGGCGGACAGUUUAGUCAGAGGUGAAAGCCCAGGGCUCAACCUUGGAAUUGCCUUUGAUACUGACUGUCUUGAGUACGGGAGAGGUGUGUGGAACUCCGAGUGUAGAGGUGAAAUUCGUAGAUAUUCGGAAGAACACCAGUGGCGAAGGCGACUACCUGGCCUGUUCUUGACGCUGAGGCGCGAAAGCUAGGGGAGCAAACGGG